rnacentral:rRNA from 1 species
UACGUAGGGUGCAAGCGUUGUCCGGAAUUAUUGGGCGUAAAGAGCUCGUAGGCGGUCUGUCGCGUCGGCUGUGAAAUCCCGGAGCUCAACUCCGGGUCUGCAGUCGAUACGGGCAAACUGGAGUACUGCAGGGGAGACUGGAAUUCCUGGUGUAGCGGUGAAAUGCGCAGAUAUCAGGAGGAACACCGGUGGCGAAGGCGGGUCUCUGGGCAGUAACUGACGCUGAGACGCGAAAGCGUGGGGAGCGAACAGG